AUGGCUUUGUAUCCUUCUGUGCCUUCUUUGUUGUGCAGUUACACUGGUUUUUCCAGUGUCCCCAAGGGACUUGCAAUUUUGUCCUUGAAUCCGUUCUUAUUUGGCAACAUUUUAAUCAAUUUCUGUAAUCACCAAAACGUCUCCAGAAAAAGCACAAGGGAGCUUCCAGACAAUUGGCAUUUCUAAUUAUGUGUCACAACUCCGGGCUCACUGCGAGUCCUGUAACUGCAGCACACAAUCCCCAUGGCAAUAUGUCAUAAUGCCUUUCAUUUCUCCUUGCAAAAAUUCCACCCCGGAAUCUUGAUUUCUGCUGUGACAGACAUAUUUGGCAACUGGGUUCUUGUGAAAGCGACUGUUGUAUGGUUUGUAAUGGGAAUUGGAAUCUGAUUUAUUUUCCAGUGUUGAUUGCAGUCCUGCUUAAACAUCCAAAAAUUGUACAUCCAAUUAGAUGAAAAAGCGUGCACACAACUUUUAAUUGCUCUGGAGAAUAUUCUGCAAAGGUCUCUGAAAAGGUCUUUAAUAAUUACAGAACAGAUGUAUCUCCUAUGGAUUGUUGCAGCAAACCUCAGGCAAAAGUAAGCUGGAUCCACGGAUAUUAGAAGCUGACACAGUUCACAGCAUGGAAAUAACCAUUAUCGUCCCUGACUUAUACAUGUAGCUUAGGUCACUGGUAAAAGGCACAGGGCAACCACAUGGUUUAGAAGCUACUUGAUCUGACAACUGAAUAUUUUCAUCAAUAGUAGUGAUGUCCUCCCGUGUACUUGACAGCAACAGGCUACUCUAGUGGGUAAG